CGCCGCGUGUGUGAUGAGGCUUUCGGGUCGUAAAGCACUGUUGUAUGGGAAGAACAGCUAGAAUAGGAAAUGAUUUUAGUUUGACGGUACCAUACCAGAAAGGGACGGCUAAAUACGUGCCAGCAGCCGCGGUAAUACGUAUGUCCCGAGCGUUAUCCGGAUUUAUUGGGCGUAAAGCGAGCGCAGACGGUUUAUUAAGUCUGAUGUGAAAGCCCGGAGCUCAACUCCGGAAUGGCAUUGGAAACUGGUUAACUUGAGUGCAGUAGAGGUAAGUGGAACUCCAUGUGUAGCGGUG
rnacentral:rRNA from 1 species